rnacentral:rRNA from 1 species
GGAUGAGCCCGCGGCCUAUCGGCUUGUUGGUGAGGUAACGGCUCACCAAGGCGACGACGGGUAGCCGGCCUGAGAGGGCGACCGGCCACACUGGGACUGAGACACGGCCCAGACUCCUACGGGAGGCAGCAGUGGGGAAUAUUGCACAAUGGGCGCAAGCCUGAUGCAGCGACGCCGCGUGAGGGAUGACGGCCUUCGGGUUGUAAACCUCUUUCAGCAGGGAAGAAGCGCAAGUGACGGUACCUGCAGAAGAAGCGCCGGCUAACUACGUGCCAGCAGCCGCGGUAAUACGUAGGGCGCGAGCGUUGUCCGGAAUUAUUGGGCGUAAAGAGCUCGUAGGCGGCCUGUCGCGUCGGAUGUGAAAGCCCGGGGCUUAACCCCGGGUCUGCAUUCGAUACGGGCAGGCUAGAGUUCGGUAGGGGAGAUCGGAAUUCCUGGUGUAGCGGUGAAAUGCGCAGAUAUCAGGAGGAACACCGGUGGCGAAGGCGGAUCUCUGGGCCGAUACUGACGCUGAGGAGCGAAAGCGUGGGGAGCGAACAGGAUUAGAUACCCUGGUAGUCCACGCCGUAAACGGUGGGCACUAGGUGUGGGCAACAUUCCACGUUGUCCGUGCCGCAGCUAACGCAUUAAGUGCCCCGCCUGGGGAGUACGG